rnacentral:tRNA from 1 species
GCCGGCGUGUCGGAAUUGGUAGACGAUGCAGACUCAAAAUCUGUUGUCAGUGAUGGCGUGUGGGUUCGAGUCCCACCGCCGGCA